UCCCUGGUGGUCCAGUAGUUAAGACUCCAUGCUCCCAAUGCAGGGGACCCAGGUUCGAUUCCUAGUCAGGGAA
rnacentral:tRNA from 1 species